rnacentral:sRNA from 1 species
CUCCAGCCGUCAUCCUCUGGACUGUUGUCUUUAUCUGGUUCUGGUCGGGCAGAGAUUUGUGUCACAGACUUUGACACCCCACCCAUCUUAGAAGCUCGGAGCAGCGCUGUGUGCUCUGCCAGACGAGCUGCCGCUGGUGAAAGCCUGGGCAGAGCUGGGCCUGGCCCCUCCAGUCGGAAGCCCCUCACUCUCCAUUUUGCUGCUUAUCAAGACCUUCGUGUGUGCGCCGUUGCUAGUUCCAGAAUUGCAUUCUGCACGAGGAGGGGUCGCCUAUAGAUUCUUAGUCCAUCAGACCCCGAAGCAGAGGCCAAAGUCCACGCCAGGACGGGGAGGUUUACUGCAUCGACGCGCGGUUCUACGGGAACGUCAGCCGGUUCAUCAACCACCACUGCGAGCCCAACCUGGUGCCCGUGCGCGUGUUCAUGGCCCACCAGGACCUGCGGUUCCCCCGGAUCGCCUUCUUCAGCACCCGCCUGAUCGAGGCCGGCGAGCAGCUCGGGUUUGACUAUGGAGAGCGCUUCUGGGACAUCAAAGGCAGGCUCUUCAGCUGCCGCUGCGGCUCCCCCAAGUGCCGGCACUCGAGCGCGGCCCUGGCCCAGCGUCAGGCCAGCGCGGCCCAGGAGGCCCAGGAGGACGGCUUGCCCGACACCAGCUCCGCGGCUGCCGCCGACCCCCUAUGAGACGCCGCCGGCCAGCGGGGCGCUCGGGAGCCAGGGACC